UGUUCGUCCCUAAAUAGGCAAUAAAGUGUUUACCACAUGUUUGGAAGAAGCAUGUGCUUCAUUCAGCCUACUCUCCCACUCGGCUUUGCAUACAGACCGUCACUUCAUUCAGAGGAGUCAAAAUGAUUCAGUCACAGUACUUUUCAGAAAUCAAUGACGAGGACUUUAGAGAUAUCGUAAUCACAGAUGUCGAUUUUGGCGUGAUAGAUGACAGAGGCGUUGCAUAUAACAAUCAAAA